UCAAACCGGAGGAAGGUGGGGAUGACGUCAAGUCCUCAUGGCCUUAUGACCAGGGCUACACACGUACUACAAUGGCCGGUACAAAGGGCAGCCACUUAGCGAUAAGGAGCCAAUCCCGUAAAGACCGGUCUCAGUCCGGAUUGGAGUCUGCAACUCGACUCCAUGAAGUUGGAAUCGCUAGUAAUCGCAGAUCAGCACGCUGCGGUGAAUACGUUCCCGGGCCUU
rnacentral:rRNA from 1 species